GCAGCAAAUUAACAUAGGAGACCAUCCUGGGAUGAGAAAGCAGAAUGGCAAAAUAUAUCCACAGAACAUUAUAAAUUGCUUUAAUUAUAACAGCACAGCUGCAACCAUAAAUCCUGAGUAGAAGGAAGGUGGCAAACAGGCUCAAUGUAAUUAACCCCUGAUGCCUGAAAUAAGCAUUUGUAAGUUGACAACUCAACUGCCGUCCUUCCACAAGCUCAGAGAUUGAUUGUUGCCUCCCAGGGUAUAAAAUAAGCUGAAACAAACCUAAAACAGUGACAG
rnacentral:lncRNA from 1 species